rnacentral:rRNA from 1 species
AAUGAACGCUGGCGGCAUGCCUAACACAUGCAAGUCGAACGAAGGCUUCGGCCUUAGUGGCGCACGGGUGCGUAACGCGUGGGAAUCUGCCCUCAGGUUCGGAAUAACAGCGAGAAAUUGCUGCUAAUACCGGAUGAUAUCGCGAGAUCAAAGAUUUAUCGCCUGAGGAUGAGCCCGCGUAGGAUUAGCUAGUUGGUGUGGUAAAGGCGCACCAAGGCGACGAUCCUUAGCUGGUCUGAGAGGAUGAUCAGCCACACUGGGACUGAGACACGGCCCAGACUCCUACGGGAGGCAGCAGUGGGGAAUAUUGGACAAUGGGCGAAAGCCUGAUCCAGCAAUGGCGCGUGGGUGAUGAAGGCCUUAGGGUUGUAAAGCUCUUUUACCCGGGAUGAUAAUGGCAGUACCGGGAGAAUAAGCUCCGGCUAACUCCGUGCCAGCAGCCGCAGUAA